UAUGCCUCACGAACGGUAACACGUGCUCUUACGGUUGCUGACGAGUGGCGAACGGGUGAGUAAUACAUCGGAACGUGCCCGAUCGUGGGGGAUAACGAAGCGAAAGCUUUGCUAAUACCGCAUACGAUCUACGGAUGAAAGCAGGGGACCGCAAGGCCUUGCGCGAACGGAGCGGCCGAUGGCAGAUUAGGUAGUUGGUGGGAUAAAAGCUUACCAAGCCGACGAUCUGUAGCUGGUCUGAGAGGACGACCAGCCACACUGGGACUGAGACACGGCCCAGACUCCUACGGGAGGCAGCAGUGGGGAAUUUUGGACAAUGGGCGAAAGCCUGAUCCAGCCAUGCCGCGUGCAGGAUGAAGGCCUUCGGGUUGUAAACUGCUUUUGUACGGAACGAAAAGACUCUGGUUAAUACCUGGGGUCCAUGACGGUACCGUAAGAAUAAGCACCGGCUAACUACGUGCCAGCAGCCGCGGUAAUACGUAGGGUGCAAGCGUUAAUCGGAAUUACUGGGCGUAAAGCGUGCGCAGGCGGUUAUAUAAGACAGAUGUGAAAUCCCCGGGCUCAACCUGGGAACUGCAUUUGUGACUGUAUAGCUAGAGUACGGCAGAGGGGGAUGGAAUUCCGCGUGUAGCAGUGAAAUGCGUAGAUAUGCGGAGGAACACCGAUGGCGAAGGCAAUCC
rnacentral:rRNA from 1 species